UAUGCAAAUAUUUGUGCCCCCGCCCAACCUGACUCUUAUAAAUGUGGAUCCAGGAGAUUGAUCCAGUCCAACAGUCAUCACAGGAGCUUUUCCCAGAGCUCGAACAGUGACUUGUGGUAUCCUCAGCUUUUAUCAGAAGAGACAUGGGCUUCUUCAAAUUAUCUGCUGUCUUCUUGCUCGCAUUCUUGCAGUGGGAGGUGCACAGUCAAGACGAUUUGAAUUGUCCUCCGAACAGCUCUCCUGGAGUCAUUUCUCUAUGUGAAAGAAACUGCUCCAACAUAGCUAAACCUCCUGUACAAAAUUGCAUUGAUAUUGGAAUAUACACCUGUAAAUGUGACGAAGGAUUCCUGGCUCAGACCUGGACUUCUGGGGAAUCUGUACAGUGCGUCAAUGAAGAAGACUGCAAUGUCCCCUGUGGUCCCAACCAGCACUAUGAGGCCUGCGCAUCCGGCUGCCAACCAACAUGUAAACAACCAUUUGGCCCUCGAGUGUGUGACAAAAAAUGUUAUAGAAAAUGUGUCUGUAAUAAGGGAUAUGUUCUUUCUGGAGAUACAUGUGUGACACUAGAAGAAUGUAAAAGAUAAUAGACAAGUCAGAUCAUUCUGCAGCCAGUAUUUGGAAGUUUGCUCUGAAAAGCAAUGGGAUUUUAUAGUUAAAUGUAAAAUGUAGAUGAAGCAGGGCUGAACGUGUUAUUAGCUAUUUCUAUUAACCUCUAGUCCUAUGGAAAAACCACAUGAAAAUAUCAUCAGCAGUUAGCGAGUUGAGCUCUGCUAGAUUUCUAAAUGUCACAAUAAAUGUGUGCAAUAACUCCGGUAUAGGUUAUCUUUUCUGAUACAAUGUUUACAAUAAAAUGAACAUAUAAGGAAUGAA